CAACACUACCCCGGUGAAUCACCUCAGUGGCUUAAAGCAUUGGCUUGGCCUCUAUGAAAGUCAAAGACUGUUGGUGAGUUCGAGAACUGCGUUGCAUGGAGCAUUGGAGGCGAAAUUGAUGGCGUUUGGCUACGACAUGAUGGAGCCUGUAUGUUUGGAAUGAGUCAGCUGGUUGGCCUCAGCUCACCUGCAGCCGGGGGUGACGUUGAACAGGAUUGACGUCAGUGAGGAUCUUCUCGUUGCUGGAUUUGAAAGCAUUCAUCAGAACUAGUGAUCCGUGUCCACAGUGACUACCUGGCAUCAGGAGGGAAAGGCGUUCACCAUGACUUGAAAGAACUGUUUACCGCUGUGAAUUCCAUCCCCAUAUCAAGCACCGAAUGUAAACGGGGCGAUUCCAGAUGAAUCUGAUUUGCACCCCAAACAGUCCCCCUUUGACCAAGUUCAGUUUGAGAUCAUGGGCGACUAAGGACACAGGAAUACUUCUGAGAUGAGGAGCAAGAUGCGGAGCAGGGAGAAGGAUGAGGUGUGGGAUAUACUAAACAACUAGUAAGGAUUCUUCUGGUGUCUGUGGCCGGAUUCAUCUUUUCCAGUGCACUGUGUUUGCUCUGUGGAUUCUCCUGAAAUUCCUCCAUGUGUCAUCUGCUGUUGGUCUCCCUUCCGCUCCUGGAACCUGCUUCUUGGAAACAGAGAUUCUCUCUUUUGUAGACAUUGUGAUUGUUGUUUGAACGGAUGUUGAAAUAAAAUGUGAGUGGAUGGAAACUGAAGUAAAAUUCCGUGCUUGUGCACACAAACUUAGCCAAUAAAGUUGAUUUUGAUUCUGAGCCUGCAAGAAUAACCUGGUUAUGGAUGGAUGAAUUAGAAUGUGUGUAAUUGACUUUGUAUGUGUCUUUGCAAUUGGAUUUAAAUUAGAUAUAUUUCUGAAUCUGAACUGUAUCUUUGUGUUUUGUAAAGUUCCUUUAGGUGACAUUUGUUGUGAACCAGUGAUAUAUAAAUAAACUGAUUUGAAAUAGAA